AAAUUUAUGACAGUACAGCAAAAUAGAAGCGGGAUUUUUUUCUCGUUUAUUUUACAGUAAAAUUUUAUAUAAUGGUAUAAGUUUAUAAGUUUGUUCCAUUAGUUGACCAUAAUCUGAAUAACCACCUAGGUCAAAGAACUAGUUGAAAUUUUUGGGGGAAAAUUUAGACACAUCGCCAAAAAAUUCCUAAAGAUACAUUUUUUGUACUUUUUAGGAGUAUUAACUGUUAAGAUAUACAUUACUUUUGUUCAGAUUAAGCUAACCUGAACAACUACAAAGUUCCCGGCAUCAUUCUCACACAUGAUGUUAUUCAUGUUCUUACUGUGCUCACACGAUAUAAACCAACGGCCUUCAAAAUACGUGAAGAUUUUUGAAAAGAAGUAUUAUUUAUAUAUUAUUAAUAUCUAUUUAACCCAGGUCGUGGCUGUAGUAGCUGGUGAGAACGAUAUCACUUGGUUGUGCAGUGUCAAACAAAUCAUCACCGACUUCCAACUAUUGUGUGAAAAGAUCCACUCUGUCAAUCCACGGUAAUUAUUUGAAAAAUGAAGUGAAAUAAGCGCAAAGGUGAUAGUUUGUAGUGUGUUACCACGUUGUAUAGGACAGACUUGAUUGCCAGUGGUUUUGUUCAACACUUCAAUAGCAUAGCCUCAGCAGUGAACUCUUCUCUGAGACAGAUAGCGUCUGUUGUCACAUGGCUACAUUUUCUACAGUUUCCAGGAUUUACUAGUCUCGCAGGCGUCAAUAGAGAACUACUUAUCCUCGACGGCCGUCAUAUGAUCUACAAAGGUGCAGAAUUUGUCGGCAGAUACAUAGAGGACACAAUAUUGAAGUGUCAACAUGCUGAAACUGAAGCAGGUGUGAUUUCUCCAAACGAACCAGUAGUGAUUCCAACACAUUCAUCACAGACUUCCGCUGUAAUUGUAUCAGUACCAGAGAAAACAUCGGCUCAAUUUGAAACAUUUGUUCCCAGGUAAUCUUCAGUACAAUGCAAGAACGACAGUGUCAAAACUUCUAGUACUGAAUCAUCCACCUCUCCAGUGCAAGUACGUCCUCGUACUAAAUGUGAUGUUUGGGUAAUCGAACUCCCAGACAAAUUUGUCUUAUCGUGUGAUGUGGAAGUAAAACAUCCAACUUUGGUUGGAGGUGGCUAUGAAAAUAAAGUGUAUAUGCAAGAGAACAAUAUUCUUGACUGGAAAACGGCAAAAGCCAUUCUUGACGAUCCUGACAUUGAGAUGGUCACUCCUAAUCCACCAUACAAACCAAAGGCCGGUGAAGUGUAUGUUUAUUCAUCAAAUGGUGACUCAAAUAACAAGAGAACCAUGAUGGUCCUGAAUCGCUCACCUAUCCCCACAUGACCCAGUGUUGAACUGAGUAUGACUUUGUUAUUUCUGUUAUUUGACAUAGUGACCUAGUUUUUGAGCACUUGACCUAAAUAUCAUCAAGAUAAAAAAUUCUGACCAAUUUUCAUGAAGAUCCAUUGAAAAAUAUGACCUCUAGAGAGGUCACAAGGUUUUUCUAUUAUUUGACCUAAUGACCUAGUUUUUGAAGGCACGUGACCCACUUUUAAACUUGACCUAGAUAUCAUCAAGGUGAACA